rnacentral:rRNA from 1 species
GACGAACGCUGGCGGCGUGCUUAACACAUGCAAGUCGAACGGAAAGGCCCUGCUUUUGUGGGGUGCUCGAGUGGCGAACGGGUGAGUAACACGUGAGUAACCUGCCCUUGACUUUGGUAUAACUUCAGGAAACUGGGUCUAAUACCAGAUGGGAGAUCCUGCUGCAUGGUGGGGGUGGGAAGGUUUCGGCGGUUGGGGAUGGACUUCCGGCUUAUCACCUUGUUGGUGGGGUAUUGGCUUACCAAGGCUUUGCCGGGUAGCCGGCCUGAGAGGGUGACCGGCCACAUUGGGACUGAGAUACGGGCCAGACUCCUACGGGAGGCAGCAGUGGGGAAUAUUGCAACAUGGGCGGAAGCCUGAUGCAGCAACGCCGCGUGCGGGAUGACGGCCUUCGGGUUGGAAACCGCUUUCGCCUGUGACGAAGCGUAAGUGACGGUAAUGGGUAAAGAAGCACCGGCUAACUACGUG